rnacentral:lncRNA from 1 species
GUUCCACUGUAACAGCUCAGUUUUCACAUCUUCCUCCAAAGAAGGGGAAAUGCCACAAAGAGCUAAGAAGAAGUUACUACCAGUGUGAUGAGAAAGCCAUGAAGCACUGAAAUAUGGAAUAAGAAAAGGAGGGCCCAGCAGUCCAAAUUCAAGUCCAACCCAGCCCUGGGUCAACAACCUGCCAUCAAGGGCCCUGCCUAAAAGAUGGGACCAGGUUAGCCAGUAAGAGAAACGCCCAGCCUGGGGAAGUGGAAGGCAGUUUCUCCAGAAAAUAAACCACAGCAAUCAUGAAAUUAGAACUUUGGUAAAACAUGUUGCAGAAGAACCAGGAAACACAUUGCAAUUGAGCCUGCUGGGUGCUGCUGCAAGUUUGGGGGCGAUCAGCAGAAUCAAGUUCUUAUAGGUAAGCAGACAAAUGUGUAGAAGGGGGUUUUGUUUUGCUUAAUUUUGAGUGAUAGUGGUGAGUACAGGGCAUGAUAGAGUACCAGAACAUUUACAUUCCAUGAGAUGAAAAUAAAAAAAUGUAAGACAGAAUUUGAAUUAUAACAUUUAUCAUGUGACCUUGGGCAAGAAAGAUAAUCUGUAAGCAUCAUUUCUCCAUUUGUUAAAUGGCAACAAUGCCCACCCCCCUCCAUAGGAUUUCCAUUAGCAUAAAUGAGAUAACAUAAAGUAACUAUAACAUGUUGUGCAUAGUACAUAGUUAUUAUUGUGAUGAUUAUUUAUAGAACUAGUGUGGAGAUCAACUGUCUUUCACAGUAAAGACAAGGACUUAAUCAACAAACUCAUUUUUCACUUGAGGGUCACAGAGGAGGCAUGCCACUCUGAAAUGUAUUGUUCUUGCCACCAGGGAUGAAGUCUGCAAAGCAGGAUGUUUCCCUAAUUUGAUUGCAAUGACUGAGGUGGAAAAUGGUCAUGUGAGUUUUUGAAAGAAAUAUUUUCUCUAAUAUAAAAUUUUUGAAUUGAUCAUUUUUGUUUCUUAAAACAAGUUCUAUUCUUAGAGAAAAAGAAAAAAAUGCCAGUAAUGUUUUUAAUACCCAUUAAAAUAAAGUCUCAGUAACUCACAAGACCCCCAAGAAACUCAGCUCAAAGACCAUUUAGCAGAAGGUAGGGCAGCAUUCUCCCACAUUGUAGACAACAGAUCUUUUUCAAGAUGGCAAGAUCAAAGUUUUCUCAUUUUGUAAAUAUUUCUACAUUAACAAAAAAUGUAUGAUCUUUUUGUAUAUUUACUAAAUACAGCUAUGGCC